ACCGCACCUGCGGACCGUAUGGAACUGCAGGGGUUAAAAUCUACAUUGUGAAACGUGCAAAAACUUCAUAUCUCUGACUUCUGAUUAAUCAUGCCUAAACAAUUUAACGAAGGUAGUUGCAAAUUUGCUUCCCCGAGGCCAUGUACCGGAGCCUAACUCACGAGCGAGGAACUCUCCCAGUUACAGGAAUACAUUUGCAUUCAUCUUCCUUGUGGUUACCCCGAAACAAUCAUUUUUCCUUGUCUCUGGCCAUGUCUGAAACCGCACUGUGUGCUCAACAGUAACACACACAGAGCGAGAUUCGGAUCAGAGAUAAUCCUUACUCAGUUCUUAAGUAGGUACUUUCCCAAUACUUCUUUCCCUUGGAAUCUACUCCAGUCAGCAUGAAUUUAGCAUUGUUUGUGUGCUUUUGCUUCCAGGCUAAAGUCUAUUGCACCAGAAAGUGCCACAACUGUACUUCAUAUAGGACAUACCCCAAGGAAGAGGCACAAAGCUGAAUCUCCUGAUUUACACAAAGCAGUGACAGCAGCCGCAUGGCUCUAAUUUGACGAGAGAGAAGCCAGUAGAGAGGGAGACUGUUGACUUCUCCACCCAUAAAGUCAGAGAGAGUCACAUGUCAGUCACACCUCAGAUCUCCUUAUGGGUGAUUUUGACUUUUUUUUUUUUUUUUUUAAUUUUUCACGUUUGCAAACUGCUUUGAACGGCUUCUGGGUUAUUUUUUUUAAUUUUAUUCUUUGUUUGUUUUUUUGGGUUUUUUUUGGUACUGCAAGGGAGGACGGAGGCUGCAGCUUCUGAGGAUACGAAGAAUCGCAGAACAAAGCCUUUGCUGGGAUCAUGGGUGAACUGAGGCUCUUCACCUCAAGGCAAGAGACUCUGCUGGUUCUGGCCAGAGCUGUGCCCACAGCAAGGCAGCUGCAUCAUCCCUGUGCUGCGGGGGCUGUCAGCUGGCACUGCCGAGCGGAGCUCAUGUCUCUGUCCCUCUGCCACACAUCCGAGCCCACAGCAGAGGUGGAAGUCCCCAUCGUAGCACAAGAGAGCACUGGGCUGUGCCAAGGAGGAACCUGUGAGACCGAGGCGCAGCCACUCAGUUUCAUGGAGAUGCUACCUGAGAGACCAUCUGCUGCUCUGAUUUGCCUUCAUAAAGAAAUCUCUGAUGGCAGCACCAUCAUGGGUUGCUGGAGAAAGGUUACCAGCUGAGCAAAGCCCCAGUAUGGACACAUGCCCAGCGGAGGCACUGAGGGAAGGUUACUACCCCUCAUAUGUUGUGAAAGACUUCCUGGCCUCUAGACCCCGGUGCUGUGUGCUGCAGUGAUUCCAGAGGAGAAAUGAAGCUCAGGUCUUCUCAGAAACAAGGAAAAUGUAGCAAGGGAGGACCAGAGGAGAAGCUUAUCAAGAAUGUACAGAGCUCACCUUUGGAGACUGUAUACCUGCAGCCCAUGUCACACUGCUUGUGGUCCUCCCAGUGCUGCCUUCACCCAUGAGUAUGGGAUUCCUGUGCAGCUGCAGACAAGUGGAUGGAUUUUUCUCUGAAAUAUUCUAUUUUGAAUUUAUUCCAUGGGCUUUAAGGAGAUCCUCAUAAGCACUCUGCAGAGUAACUACUCCCUGAGUAGCCUAAGGGCUCCUUGCAGAGCAGGCAUGUUUCUGAGCUCUGGAGGAGAGUGCAUGCUCCCAAGGGACCAUACCAAGGAAAUUUAUUUGGCCAUCACUGUGUGCCUGACUAGACACAGCCUUAGGUACUUCUCUGAGUAAGCAGCGUUGAUCUCUACCUUUGGUCUUAGUGAUUGAUGGCAUUAAGUUAUAGGAUGAGCCUAUCUCCUCAGUGACAGAUGGAUUGGGCACACCCUGACAAUUUUUUUCUCAUGCACUUUUGUCAAGGAAAAGAGCAAUCCUUUGAGAGGUUUUUGGGCUAUAAAUAUGUCAUUGUUGAGGACUGAAGUGACAGAGACAGCAGAAGCCUCACCAGCACCAGGGCUUUCAGCUGGACCUGAGAAAGCAGUUCCUCCACAGCCCUGUGCCAGAGCCAGGGGGGAACAGUCCCAUGUCCCUGCCCAGGAUGCGUCAGGAGUUCAAUAUCUGGUGAUACCCUUGCUUUGUGAUCACCUCAUCCCAGCAUUGUGUCUUGCAGCAGUACCCAGAGCAUCCUCAAUCUAGCAGCACCUCACCAGGCAACCUCGGGUUUCCAGCAGCUAGGUCAAGAGCAGAGAGAAGCAACAAAUUCAAGUAAUAAAUAAUGCUGGGGAAAACCA
rnacentral:lncRNA from 1 species